rnacentral:rRNA from 1 species
AUUGAACGCUGGCGGCAGGCCUAACACAUGCAAGUCGAACGAGUGGCGGACGGGUGAGUAAUGUCUGGGAAACUGCCUGAUGGAGGGGGAUAACUACUGGACACGGUAGCUAAUACCGCAUACCAUCAGAUGUGCCCAGAUGGGAUUAGCUUUGGGGUGGGGUAACGGCUAACCAAGGCGAAGAUCCCUAGCUGGUCUGAGAGGAUGACCAGCCACACUGGAACGGAGACACGGUCCAGACUCCUACGGGAGGCAGCAGUGGGGAAUAUUGGACAAUGGGCGCAAGCCUGAUGCAGCCAUGCCGCGUGUAGGAAGAAGGCCUUCGGGUUGUAAAGUACUGUCAGCGGGGAGGCGUUACCCGCAGAAGAAGCACCGGCUAACUCCGUGCCAGCCGCCGCGGUAAUUC